GCCGCCACCGCCUCAGGGAAGAGGAAGGAGGCCGCGGCUUCGCGUCCCGCCUCUCGCCUGGCUGGCCGUGGGGGGCCUGGACGCAGUGGCCUCCCGAAUCUCCCAGGACCCUAAUAUCGCCCGAGGAUGCUGGGAGGAACGCUGAGCCGACCUCUCCGUUAGGCUGAAGAUUGCACAAACCAUGCUAAUGGCCAGCAUGGAUGGAGGGAGCGUGUGAGAUGUGUGGGGCAGCGUGCUGCAUCUCAGCCAACUCCAGGAGGAAGCAUGCUCAUGGCAAUACCCGGAGUCUCCACUGCAAGACCAGAGUGACGGAGGCAGCAGAGCUCCUCAGCAGGCCAGGAGUCUCCAGAGGCACUGCCGAAUGUCUAAGAAGCAACCUCAUUGUAUUCCCAAGACCUGGGAAUCCAGGUCUCGCAGAUACGAUGAUACAAUCUAUAGCCAGGACAUCUCUUCAUGUGUAGGCCAAGCUAUAAAUAAAGGGUGGACUGACCUUGUCAACUGUUAAAUUGGAGCCGUGGUGCGUUGCCUAGAACAUUGCGGAUGACCCCGAGCAGCACAGCAGAUCAACGGCUGAGAAAGAGCUCAUUCAGCUCAUCUAACUAGGAUGCUGUCCUGCCAGAGCCCUGGGGGUUCUCGUCUCCUGGGGCAAAAGCAGCAUGCAACCCUUAUGAACCCAUCUUGGAAGGCAUUCGGGGAGCCCAAGACAAGACCAUUGGGAGCCUCAGGGUCACUUGUGGGGGUCUCUGUGCUGGACGGCUGUACCUCUCAUGAAAUGGACAACUGACCAUAAGAAGGAGUGAUCUUUUCCCAGGUUAGCCUUUGUGGCUUGGGCAUCCAGCCUUUCAGAGAUAUGAAACCACACACGUCUUCAGAGUGAACAGCUGCUCACCCCGAUGUGCUCAAGGGGUGCAGGAUGUGGACACAUCCUACUGAAUGAGCCAGACAACGUAACUGGAUCUGUCCAGAACACCACGAUGGGUGACAUUGCCAUCUGCAGCAGUGCUGUACUUCCUCCCGCCAAUUUGUAAAGUGCAGACAGGAUGCUGGAUCAACUGGCUGCUGCUGAGGCCAGUGACCUCUAGGGCGUAUUCCCACGUUCCUUUGCAGUAGCUGCUCACCUUUGUAAGCAUGUGAGUUAUUCGUGCUGUCUGUUGUGAUCCUAAGGAAUCCAAUGGUCAGGACCAGAACUUCUGAAGUACAGCCCAGCAUUGCCGUCUGGCAUCCCCAGAAAGCAGAUUUUGAGAUUGGCAUGAUGGCCGUUAAGCAGGGCGUUCUCUCUGGAGCAAUGUCUAGCCGGGGUCGGAGUGGGGAGAGAGAGAGGGGGGCUGCUGAGAAUAUCACAGAGAGAUGGCAGCCUUUCUGCAGCAUAGGCCUAAGUGCACACUCACCUGGCUAUCACUGAGAGGACUCUCUGUUCAACAGGGCCACUCAGGGCUUCCCCUGCAUGGAGAUCUGAGUGUCCAGGGAGGGGACGUGGUGAGCAUUUCUCUGGUCAAAGUGUGCAAAGCAAAAUCUGCCCCAUUCCUGCCAAAGUGGUUGACAUGGAGGAAAGGGGAGUGCCAGUUCUGUAGGCUGAGGUGGUGGCUGUUAGAACUGCUCCUAGGCUAGUUGGUGUUCUGGAAGGUUCCCCUCUAUGUGAGAUGAAAGAGCAUAUCUUUAAGAGCUGCAACUUUGAAGCUCUAAUAUAGAAUGCUUUUGGUGGCAAGCAUUACUUCGGAAAGGGCUUGAAGACCCCUGAAGAUCCUUGGUGGCCUAGGCAGUUCCUUUAUUGCCAGGGCUGUGCAGGACUAAGCUUCAACAGCGCCACCAUGUGACAAGAAGCAAUUGCAGUGGUGCAUUGAGGGUUUUCUUUUGCACUGAGAACUCAAGUCCCACUUUCACCCUUGGACCUGGUAAAUCUUUGGGGUUCAUGGACAAUUCUGAGGAGGAGAUACUUAAGAGAGUGAUGUUAGAAUUUGAUGUUUUGGUUUAUUGUAUCAGAAAAUAAAAGAAAUUGGAUUUAUAGCUCAGUUUGUGGUUCAUAUCAAUUUAAAUAGCUUUGAAAUGCUGAUAGGACCAUCACGGUUUUUUGGUUGCUGAAAUCCCAUAACUAAAGCAAUGCCUCAAUAAGCUUUUAAUCCACAGCCCCCAUGCCCAGGUCUAUAACAAAGUUUUUAUAUGCCUAUGGGGAAAAACAAUUAUGAGGCAAACAUUUAUAAAGUUAAAUUUAUUACGUUUCUACUCCUAUUUUUUAUUCUGCUGGUGUAUUGUUAUAUAUUUUCCUACAUAUUUAAACAUUUUCUUCCUCUUAUAAAAUGUUAGUGAUUUUAAAUGAUGGUGUGUCCGGAAUUGGUUCCUUCUGGUGGGUUCAGUCUUGCUGACUUCAAGAAUGAAGCCACAGAUGCUCACAGUGAGUGUUACAGCUCUUAAAGAUGGUGUGUCCAAAGUUUGUUCCCUCAGAUGUUCAGAUGUCUCCAGAGUUUCUUCCUUCUGGUGGGUUCGUGGUCUUGCUGACUUCAGGAGUGAAGCCGCAGACCUUUGCAGUGAGUGUUACAGCUCUUAAAGGUGGUGCGUCCAGAGUUGUUUCUUCCUCCCAGUGGGAUUAUGGUCUCGUGCAGACCUUGCAUUGAGUGUUACAGCUCUUAAAGGGGGCACGGACCUGACCAUCCUGGCUAAAAUACAGUGAAACCCCAUCUCCACUAAAAUUACAAAUAUUAGCCCGGAGUGGUGGCAGGUGCCCAUAGUCCCAGCUACUCCGGAGGCUGAGACAGGAGAAUAGUGUGAACCCGGGACGCGGAGCUUGUAGUGAACAGAGAUUGCGUCACUGCACUCCAGCCUGGGCGACAGAGCGAGACUCCAUCUCAAAAAACAAGAACAAAAAAACAAAAAAAAGGCAGCGCAGACCCAGAGUAAGCAACAGCAAGAUUUAUUGCCAAGAGCCAAACAACAAACCUCCCACAGCGUGGAAGCAGACCCAAGUGGGUUGACACUGCUGGCUCAGGUGGUCUGCUUUUAGUCCCUUAUUUGGCCUCACCAACAUCCUGCUGAUUGGUCCAUUUUACAGAGAGCUGAUUGGUCCAUUUUACAGAGUGCUGAUUGGUCCAUUUUGACAGAGUGCUGAUUGGUGCAUUUAUAAACCCUUAGCUAGACACAUAGCGCUGAUUGGUGCAUUUACAAUCCUUUAGCUAGACAGAAAAGUUCUCCAAGUACCCUACCCGAUUAGCUAGACACAGAGCCCUGAUUGGUGCGUUUACAAACCUUUAGUUAGACACAGAGUGCUGAUUGGUGCGUUUACGAUCCUUUAGCUAGACAGAAAAGUUUUCCAAGUCCCCACCAGACCCAGAAGCCCAGCCAGCUUCACCUCUCAAUGGGAUUUUAAAAAAUGUUUUUACUUGGCAAAUAAAGACUUAGCAACCUAAUACCUACCUCUCAAAAUAUUUGUAAAUCAUACUGAUCUAUAAAAUCUAUUAAGUAUGAGAUUUGUUGAUAUAAUGACUCAUAAAAGCAAUGUAAUCCAAAUUAAAAUUUGUAAAGCACUGCAUAAUUUACAUAGUAUUUCUGUCUCGAGUAUCUUUAAACCAUUAAGUUAAGAGUGUGACUUUGGACGGGUGUGGUGGCUCACGCCGGUAAUCCCAACACUUUGGGAGGCCAAGGCAGGCAGAUCACCUGAGGUCGAGAGUUCGAGAUCAGCCUGGCCAAAAUAUCGAAACCCCAUCUCUACUAAAAAUACAAAAAUUAGCUGGACGUGGUGGCAUGCCCUGUAGUCCCAGCUGCUCAGGAGGCUGAGACAGGAGAAUCGCUUGAACCCAGAGGCGGAGGUUGCAGUGAGCCAAGAUCGUGCCACUGCACUCCAGCCUUGGCGACAGAGUGAGACUCCAUCUCCAACAAAAAAAUGAAAGAAAGAAAAUCUCCUGUAGUCACUUCUAGUCACCACAACAGUUUGAUUUUAAUAAUUAGAAGACCUACUUCUAUGCAGAAAUAUGAACUCCAAACCUCUGGAUAUGGGGACAGAAAUUGCCGUGGCACUCUAAAAACUUUGUCCAAAGAAAUGCUGUCUUCCAUUUUCUUUGCCGUUAACCAUUUUAUAUCCUUGAGAUGGUGUUGAGUUGAUCUGCAAAGCCGGCCUUGGCCACCUGCCCUGAUAGUCUUGCCCAAAUGCUCCAGCACCUUGCCCUGGAACGUGGCCAAAUUGGCCACCUGCUGUUUUGUUCGUCCCUCUGAUUUCUGUCUCGGUUGCUCUCUUUUGGAGUUCUGCAGUUGUGUGCGUGCUUUUUCUUGUUCUGGGUCAGUUUUUUUCUCAUCUGUCAAACCAGGACACAUAAUUUUACAAGGUCACACAGUGAGGAAAGCCUUGCUGAAUCUUACUGCUACGAUUCACGGCAUUGCAGAGGCCUUGCUUUUAGAGCUGCAACAGAUCUCAGAAGUUUUAGGCUAAUUCCUUCGUUUUACAGACGACUAAAAUGAAAUCCAGGGAGUUUAAGUGGCAUGACGAGAGCUAGAGGAUCCCUUCUCAAGUAACUAUGGAACAAAGCCUUCGAAACGCAUACGUUGGUACAGAGUUAGGCUGAGAGGGGCCUGAGCUUACACAAUGUGGGUGUCCUCUUUCAGAAAGAAGAAAUACAAAAUUAAGUACACAAUUGUUAUCAUUUAGAAAGAUAAAAGAAAUUACCGUGAAUUACACACUUUCAAAACCUGUGAAAUACCACAAACAGCAUAAAAUCCAAGAAAAUAAUAUCUUUAUUACUUAAUUGUCCAACCAAUCUCUGUAAUUCCUGUUUUCUUAUAUUUUCUGCUGUAUAA
ensembl:lncRNA GMDS-DT GMDS divergent transcript